rnacentral:rRNA from 1 species
AUUGAACGCUGGCGGCAGGCCUAACACAUGCAAGUCGAGCGGAUGAAGGGAGCUUGCUCCUUGAUUCAGCGGCGGACGGGUGAGUAAUGCCUAGGAAUCUGCCUGGUAGUGGGGGAUAACGUCCGGAAACGGGCGCUAAUACCGCAUACGUCGUGAGGGAGAAAGUGAGGGAUCUUCGGACCUCACGCUAUCAGAUGAGCCUAGGUCGGAUUAGCUAGUUGGUGGGGUAAAGGCCUACCAAGGCGACGAUCCGUAACUGGUCUGAGAGGAUGAUCAGUCACACUGGAACUGAGACACGGUCCAGACUCCUACGGGAGGCAGCAGUGGGGAAUAUUGGACAAUGGGCGAAAGCCUGAUCCAGCCAUGCCGCGUGUGUGAAGAAGGUCUUCGGAUUGUAAAGCACUUUAAGUUGGGAGGAAGGGCAGUAAGUUAAUACCUUGCUGUUUUGACGGUACCAACAGAAUAAGCACCGGCUAACUUCGUG